rnacentral:rRNA from 1 species
CGACCCCAGGUCAGGCGGGACUACCCGCUGAGU